GACGAAGGGGGCUAGCGUUGUCCGGAAUUAUUGGGCGUAAAGCGCGUGUAGGCGGAUGAGCAAGUCUGCUGUGAAAGCUCCUGGCUUAACCGGGAGUGGUCGGUGGAAACUGCUCGUCUGGAGGACGGUAGAGGUAGGUAGAAUUCCCGGUGUAGUGGUGAAAUGCGUAGAGAUCGGGAGGAAUACCUGUGGCGAAGGCGGCCUACUGGGCCGGACCUGACGCUGAGACGCGAAGGCGUGGGGAGCGAACAGG
rnacentral:rRNA from 1 species